UCCUCAGCUUCCUUCAAUACGACAUCGGAAACAUACAGAAAGCUCUUGAGUUGGGGUUCAGUAUUGCGUAACCGGUUCAAAAAAGUUCCGGCGAGAUCAACGGCUGAGAUUUCACGGGAUAAAAGGGAUUUGCGGAUUGUGAGGAUUUGAGAAUGUGGGGGUGGUGGGGUAGUGGUGGGGUGGGUGUGGAGGCAUUUGAGAGUGAAGGAUUGAAAACGGAGAAGACGAGGAGUUUG
rnacentral:misc_RNA from 1 species